rnacentral:rRNA from 1 species
AUCCUCAAAGCUGUUUAACGCUUCCGAGUUAAGAAGCCCCUUUACGAAAGUAGCUUUAUUCAACCUGAUCCCACGAAAGCUGGAGGAACAAACUGGGAUUAGAUACCCCACUAUGCUCAGUCGUAAACCUUGAUAGGUCACUACACCCCCUAUCCGCCCGGGUACUACGAGCAUUAGCUUGAAACCCAAAGGACUUGGCGGUGCUUCACAUCCGUCUAGAGGAGCCUGUUCUAGAACCGAUAAUCCUCGUUAAACCUCACCCUCUCUUGUUAAUUCCGCCUAUAUACCGCCGUCGUCAGCCUACCCUGUGAAGCCCAGAAGUGAGCGAGAUCGGUAAAGCCCAAAACGCCAGGUCGAGGAGUAGCGUAUGAGAGGGGAAGAGAUGGGCUACAUUUCCUAAAUCAGGAAACACGGAAAAUGAUCUGAAUAAAUCAUAAGAAGGUGGAUUUAGCAGUAAGCAGGAGAACAGAGUCUCCGCUGAAACAAUGGCAAUAAAGCGCGCACAUACCGCCCGUCACUCUCCCCAAGCUUCCUAAAAAGUUAUACCUGCAAAGGGGAGACAAGUCGUAACAUGGUAAGCUACCGGAAGGUGCGCUUGGAAUAAUCUGAUUACAGCU